rnacentral:rRNA from 1 species
AACGUAGGACGCGAGCGUUAUCCGGAGUUACUGGGCGUAAAGCGCGGGCAGGCGGUCUGACAAGUCUGAUGUGAAAUCACCCGGCUCAACCGGGCGAGGGCAUUGGAAACUGACAGGCUGGAGGGCAGUAGAGGUAGGCGGAAUUCCGGGUGGAGUGGUGAAAUGCGUAGAUAUCGUGAGGAACACCAGAGGCGAAGGCGGCUACCUGGACAAUUGCUGACGCUGAGGCACGAAAGCGUGGGGAGCAAAAGGG